AUUGAACGCUGGCGGCAUGCUUUACACAUGCAAGUCGAACGGUAACAGGCCUUCGGGUGCUGACGAGUGGCGAACGGGUGAGUAAUGCAUCGGAACGUGCCCAGAGGUGGGGGAUAACGCAGCGAAAGCUGUGCUAAUACCGCAUGUGAUCUGAGGAUGAAAGCGGGGGACCAGGCAGCAAUGUUUGGCCUCGCGCCUUUGGAGCGGCCGAUGUCAGAUUAGGUAGUUGGUGGGGUAAAGGCCUACCAAGCCGACGAUCUGUAGCUGGUCUGAGAGGACGACCAGCCACACUGGGGCUGAGACACGGCCCAGACUCCUACGGGAGGCAGCAGUGGGGAAUUUUGGACAAUGGGCGCAAGCCUGAUCCAGCAAUGCCGCGUGCGGGAAGAAGGCCUUCGGGUUGUAAACCGCUUUUGUACGGAACGAAAAGGCUCUGGCUAAUACCUGGGGCUGAUGACGGUACCGUAAGAAUAAGCACCGGCUAACUACGU
rnacentral:rRNA from 1 species